UACGAAGGGGGCUAGCGUUGUUCGGAAUCACUGGGCGUAAAGGGCGCGUAGGCGGCUUUAUAAGUCGGGGGUGAAAGCCUGUGGCUCAACCACAGAAUUGCCUUCGAUACUGUAGAGCUUGAGACCGGAAGAGGUAAGUGGAACUGCGAGUGUAGAGGUGAAAUUCGUAGAUAUUCGCAAGAACACCAGUGGCGAAGGCGGCUGUCUGGUCCGGUUCUGACGCUGAGGCGCGAAAGCGUGGGGAGCAAACAGG
rnacentral:rRNA from 1 species